AGCAGCCGCGGUAAUUCCAGCUCCAAUAGCGUAUAUUAAAGUUGUUGCAGUUAAAAAGCUCGUAGUUGAAUUUCGGGAUCAGAUUGUCGGUCGUGCCUCGGUACGUACUGGCAUUAUUGAUUUCUCCUUUCUGAAGAACCUUGAUGUCAUUAAUUUGGUGUCUUGGGGAAUCAGGACCGUUACUUUGAAAAAAUUAGAGUGUUUAAAGCAGGCUCACGCUUGAAUACAUUAGCAUGGAAUAAUGAAAUAGGACGUUUGAUUCUAUUUUGUUGGUUUCUAGGAUCGACGUAAUGAUUAAUAGGGAUAGUUGGGGGCAUUAGUAUUCAAUUGUCAGAGGUGAAAUUCUUGGAUUUAUUGAAGACUAACUACUGCGAAAGCAUUUGCCAAGGAUGUUUUCAUUAAUCAAGAACGAAAGUUAGGGGAUCGAAGACGAUCAGAUACCGUCGUAGUCUUAACCAUAAACUAUGCCGACUAGGGAUCGGAUGAUGUUAAUUUUUAAUGACUCAUUCGGCGCCUUAAC
rnacentral:rRNA from 1 species